rnacentral:rRNA from 1 species
CGGAGUUAGCCGAGGCUUAUUCGUCAGGUACCGUCAGAUCUUCUUCCCUGACAAAAGAGGUUUACAACCCAAAAGCCUUCCUCCCUCACGCGGUCUUGCUCCGUCAGGCUUUCGCCCAUUGCGGAAAAUUCCC